AUGAUCCCAAAUUGGUCCUGACCCAGAGCAUCAAAAGGUGACGCCAAGAGUUCCGACCGAAUGUGAAGUAGUUGAAAGCCCCGCUGUGUCUGACUGAGACGCGAAAGGAGACUUUUUGCAUCAGUAACAAACGCCAAAGGCACUUGAACAAGCUUUAGG